rnacentral:rRNA from 1 species
GACGAACGCUGGCGGCGUGCUUAACACAUGCAAGUCGAACGGAAAGGCCCUGCUUUUGUGGGGUGCUCGAGUGGCGAACGGGUGAGUAACACGUGAGUAACCUGCCCUUGUCUUUGGGAUAACUUCAGGAAACUGGGGCUAAUACCGGAUAGGAGCUCCUGCUGCAUGGUGGGGGUUGGAAAGAUUCGGCGGUUGGGGAUGGACUCGCGGCUUAUCCGCUUGUUGGUGGGGUAGUGGCUUACCAAGGCUUUGACGGGUAGCCGGCCUGAGAGGGUGACCGGCCACAUUGGGACUGAGAUACGGACCAGACUCCUACGGGAGGCAGCAGUGGGGAAUAUUGCACAAUGGGCGGAAGCCUGAGGCAGCAACGCCGCGUGCGGGAUGACGGCCUUCGGGUUGUAAACCGCUUUCGCCUGUGACGAAGCGUGAGUGACGGUAAUGGGUAAAGAAGCACCGGCUAACUACGUG